UACGAGGGGUGCUAGCGUUGUUCGGAAUCAUUGGGCGUAAAGAGUAUGUAGGCGGCCAUAUAAGUCAGUUGUGAAAUCCCCGGGCUCAACCCGGGAAGUGCAAUUGAUACUGUAUGGCUUGAGUAUGGAAGAGGGUAGUGGAAUUCCAGGUGUAGUGGUGAGAUACGUAGAUAUCUGGAGGAAUACCGGUGGCGAAGGCGGCUACCUGGUCCUAUACUGACGCUGAGAUACGAAAGCAUGGGUAGCAAACAGG
rnacentral:rRNA from 1 species